UUAGUUCAGUUGGUAGAGCGCUCCACUGGAGAUGAAGAGGUUUCUGGUUCGAUACCAGGA
rnacentral:tRNA from 1 species